GGAAUAUUGGGCAAUGGAGGAAACUCUGACCCAGCGACGCCGCGCGCGGGAUGAAGGCCUUCGGGUUGUAAACCGCUUUCAGUAGGGAAGAAGCGAAAGUGACGGUACCUACAAAAGAAGCACCGGCUAACUAUGUGCCAGCAGCCGCGGUAAUACAUAGGGUGCAAGCGUUGUCCGGAAUUAUUGGGCGUAAAGAGCUCGUAGGUCGUUUGUUACGUCGGAUGUGAAAACCUGAGGCUCAACCUCAGGCCUGCAUUCGAUACGGGCAAACUAGAGUUUGGUAGGGGAGACUGGAAUUCCUGGUGUAGCGGUGGAAUGCGCAGAUAUCAGGAGGAACACCAAUGGCGAAGGCAGGUCUCUGGGCCAAUACUGACACUGAGGAGCGAAAGUCUGGGGAGCGAACAGGAUUAGAUACCCUGGUAGUCCAGACCGUAAACGGUGGGCACUAGUUGUGGGAACCUUCCACGGUUUCUGCGACGCAGCUAACGCAUUAAGUGCCCCGCCUGGGGAGUACGAUCGCAAGAUUAAAACUCAAAGGAAUUGACGG
rnacentral:rRNA from 1 species